GUCUUCGGAUAUAGAGACCGGCGCACGGGUGCGUAACGCGUAUGCAAUCUACCUUUUACAGGGGGAUAGCCCAGAGAAAUUUGGAUUAAUACCCCAUAGUAUACAGAGUUGGCAUCAGCCUUGUAUUAAAGUCACAACGGUAAAAGAUGAGCAUGCGUCCCAUUAGCUAGUUGGUAAGGUAACGGCUUACCAAGGCUACGAUGGGUAGGGGUCCUGAGAGGGAGAUCCCCCACACUGGUACUGAGACACGGACCAGACUCCUACGGGAGGCAGCAGUGAGGAAUAUUGGACAAUGGGCGCAAGCCUGAUCCAGCCAUGCCGCGUGCAGGAUGACGGUCCUAUGGAUUGUAAACUGCUUUUGUACGAGAAGAAACACUGCUUCGUGAAGCAGCUUGACGGUAUCGUAAGAAUAAGGAUCGGCUAACUCCGUGCCAGCAGCCGCGGUAAUACGGAGGAUCCAAGCGUUAUCCGGAAUCAUUGGGUUUAAAGGGUCCGUAGGCGGUUUAGUAAGUCAGUGGUGAAAGCCCAUCGCUCAACGGUGGAACGGCCAUUGAUACUGCUGAACUUGAAUUAUUAGGAAGUAACUAGAAUAUGUAGUGUAGCGGUGAAAUGCUUAGAGAUUACAUGGAAUACCAAUUGCGAAGGCAGGUUACUACUAAUGGAUUGACGCUGAUGGACGAAAGCGUGGGUAGCGAACAGGAUUAGAUACCCUGGUAGUCCACGCCGUAAACGAUGGAUACUAGCUGUUGGGAGCAAUCUCAGUGGCUAAGCGAAAGUGAUAAGUAUCCCACCUGGGGGAGUACGUUCGCAAGAAUGAAACUCAAAGGAAUUGACGGGGGCCCGCACAAGCGGUGGAGCAUGUGGUUUAAUUCGAUGAUACGCGAGGAACCUUACCAAGGCUUAAAUGUAGAUUGACCGUUUUGGAAACAGAACUUUCGCAAGACAAUUUACAAGGUGCUGCCAUGGUUGUCGUCAGCUCGUGCCGUGAGGUGUCAGGUUAAGUCCUAUAA
rnacentral:rRNA from 1 species